rnacentral:rRNA from 1 species
AUGAGGCGCUAUGGAAUAAUCAUGUUCUUAUGUUCAGUCAAUUUAUGUAAUUUUCAUGUAUGUCCUGCAAAAAUUGUUUUGCCGGCUCACUUACCUGAUUUGUUCAAUGCCCCAAAAGCGAUACAAGAAUUUGACCAAGACGCAAGACAAAACUUGUGCCAAAACAUAAGGUUACAAGCAUAUAUAAGAUCAACACAGCAAUUGGCAUUCUGUGGAACAAACGUUCUUUACAGCAGUAUGCUACGUAUAACCAUUGGCUUCGGCGGGAGGCCACUAUAUUGCAACUCCAAACAUUCUUUACAGCAGUAUUCUAACCAUUGGCUUCGGCAGCCACUAUAUUGCAGUUCCAGUUAG